GUUACUAGCCCCUUUUUUCUCCCACACAGGCCUGCACCAGACUUCUCUUCUAGGACUAAAGCCUCAGUUUUUGUAUCCCCCUUCGGUUCCUCUUCCACAGAUCUUGCCCUGCCUCGUUGCCCAGCUCAGACAAACACCCUGCCUCAUCUUCCCCAUCUCCUCCCCACUGGGAGUUGGGGGCCCUCAAUCUUGGACUUCUCCAGACUUCACCAGACCGCAGAAUGGCCUUAAAUCCUUUCCAGUUUGCUUGUCCUCAGCCACCAGAUAGUCAGUCAGCAGUACUCAUUAAGCUUGUUCUGCGGGCAAAGCAGUGUACUGAGGCCUUAUCAAGAAAAACUGCAGGAACAGAAGUGGUAGACGUGCCCUUUCAGGAUGUGAAUUAGUGUCUGUGGGUCCCCUGGUGAGUAACCCGAACCUCUCAGAGACUGAGGAAGCUGCCUCAAGUAACAGCUGAUAUGUCUGGAAUGCCUAUUCUGCACCAGGCUUUGUGCUAGGAACUAGGGAAGUGAAGAAGGCAAUACUUCCGUGGUUCCUGAAGAUUUCCAUCUCAUGGUCUGAAAGACAAAGCAGAAAGCAGAAUAUCACCUAAGUUCCCAUCCAGGCCAAACUCUGGUUCAUGGGUUCCCUGAGAGCAGCUGUGCCACAGUCUAACUAUUAAGUAAACACAUGAAACCACCUAACGUUAGGACCAUCACAGAGAUCAGUAGUGAUUCAACGUCUCCAAAUGACUUGGUGAUCCUGAGAUAAAAAGAGGCUUAGGAAGUAGAAAUGCACCCUUGUCUUCAGCCAAAAAACGAUACUCUGUGAGUCAGAGCCAGCACACCAGGACAGAGGCAGAAAAUAGCGCAUUUGGUCAUUUCCGGAAGUACUGAGCAGUGGAGGGAAGUGGCAAGCGAAGAAGAGGGAGGGCAGAGCAUGGCGGGCUGCCAGGGGCUGGACACAGUGUUCCCACUCACUCUUUCCUCCAGCUGUGCUAGCCAUGUGGUGUGUUCUGGUUCCUUCAGGGUCGUGCCCUGACGAGCUUCUCUUCUCUCACCACUCCCCACCUUCUCCACUACCAUCAUCCCUGCCCCAAACAUAAACGCUAGAGCAUUCCCUGAAGAAACCAUGUUCUUCCAUAGCUAUGGGCUUCUGUUCACACUAUUCCCUGUGUUUUGAAAGCUCUUAAGCCUCCAUUAGUUCAAAUGGCACCUCCUCAGUAAAGCCUUCCUAGAUUUCCACAGGCAAAGUUAGAACACUUUCCUCUGUGCUUUCAGAGCACUUUUGUAUUCACGCAAACUUCUAUUUUCAGGAUAACCAAAGGGAUGCAGCACAGG
rnacentral:lncRNA from 1 species